rnacentral:rRNA from 1 species
GACAGAGGUGCCGAGCGUUAGGCGGAAUCACUGGGCUUAAAGCGUGUGUAGGCGGAUGGGUAAGUACCUUGUGAAAUCCCACGGCUCAACCGUGGAACUGCUCGGUAUACUGCUCGUCUUGAGCCAACUAGGGGCGACCGGAACAAACGUGGAGCGGUGAAAUGCGUAGAUAUCAAGCGGAACACCGGUGGCGAAGGCGGCCUUCUGGACGAUGACUGACGCUGAGACGCGAAAGCGUGGGGGAGCAAACAGG